rnacentral:lncRNA from 1 species
AUGACGAAAUCAGCUGGAGCAUCGAUUAUGGAAAUGAGUAGCACCAGUAAUCUGCCCCCCCUGCGAAACCUGCCCAGCUGGAGCAGGGUGCGAGAUCUGGACCGGGUGAGAUACCCCAGACUCCUGUCCAGUGACCCUGUGGUCAGAGCUCCACCUGUGGGCAUCAAGAGCCCAAAAGCAGCUGCUCAGCCCAGGACAGACACACACGGCACAAGCAUCGCCUCUCUGGAGAAAGCUGUUCUGUUCCUCCAGCAGCAGCAUACAGACACGCUGGAGAGACUGCAUGCAGAAGUUGAAGAUCUGAAGCGUGUUAAUAAAGAAUUACAGUAUAAGUUGAUUAUGGAACAUGGAAAUACUCCUAAAAAGUGCAUAUGGUCCAACAGUAAUUCCUCAAAAUCCAGCAGUGAUGGUUCAGCCGAGAAGAAUUCCCAGUGUGGAUUCAUCAGCUCAGAGGAGGCCUGCGAGGCGGGAGGAGGAGGCGCAGUCACGUCUCUGCUGCCUCUCAGGAUCACCUGCAGCCCGUCCCAGCAGCCCCGCACCCCGACACUGAAAGAGUGUGAGCUCAUCAUCCAGCAGCUCUAUCACGCCAACACUGCACAGAAUCAGGAGCUGCUGCGGAUCAAGACGGUCCUCAGAGAAAUCACUUCCAGAAACAGAUCAGCUGCUGAAGUUUUCUCUCGUGCAAGAGCCUCGCUCUGUGACAACAGCAGGGGUGACGUUUUCGAGCAUUUUUCCGAAACUACCUCUCAAACCACUCCCAAAGAAACAGUAGGCUGGCUUUUCUAUCAUCAUCAUCAUCAUCACAGAAUACCACAGAUAGUCCCCAGUUCUGAAACAAUUUUUGGUCAUUUAACCCCAGGAUCCUGAAGGUUAAAGGAGAACCCGUGCUCCUCCCGGCCAUCAAGCACAGUCUCGGCAGCAGCAUGUCCGAGUGGCAGAGGAGAGCGCAGGACGAGCACAGACUGCGUUUCAGGAGAGCGGUGAACUCUUAACCCUCCUCUGCAGUGCUUCUGUCAUUGUGCCUUCCUGUUUGCUGAUUAGAAGGUCUUACAGUUCUUAAACAAAAAGGCUUAAACAUCUCAUUCAGUCUCUCUAUAAGCUGAAGGAAGGUCAAUCUCAUUCAGUCUCUCUAUAAGCUGAAGGAAGGUCAAAAACAUGUAUUUUUUCUGUAUCUCUUCCACAGAGACGGGAGGAAUUUAGCGAACGGCUGUUGAUCACGUUUGAUUCCCUAAUGAACUAAAUAAGAAUCUUUCCAGAGAAGCAGCCAAAUGUCAAAGACGAGACGAGAGCUAAGCUGCCCAUCCUCCAACAGGAAGAUCCGUAAACUCUGAGACAGACACAAUAUAUACAACCAAAUCUCUUAGAAAACCUUGAUUUGAUGUGAAUUUCCCUGAAGGUUCCAAAAGGCUGAUUUGAGCUUGACAAUGCAGUCUAAAUUCUGCUUUAACUCUCUUUAAAUAAAUGCACCAGCAACAUUUUAUAACAUGUUAUUAUUUUUGUAGAGUUCUUGUUCCUGGACUCAUGCAGUGACCUGUAAGUGUUCAUUUCUUCACUAAGGCUGAGUAUGUUUUAUCUGUAGUGCACUAGUGUAUUAUGGCCGUUGAGAAGUUUUUAUAGUGCGUCCUUUUGGAUCUCUAACUGAUGACUACAACCAACUGGAUCCGUGCCCGGGCCUCCAGCAGACACCACAUAGUAUUACUGUGUUUAAGAGCCUUAUUAAGUAAUGGGUUUUAGAUGGCACUAUCUCAUUCAGUUCAAUUCAAUCAGAUGCUCUAGAUGUCUCAAACAGCAAACGUUCAACACGUUUCUCAAAUUCAGUCUACCCAAUAAAACAUUUUAAUAACACAUUGCUUGGAAAGUUUGAAUUGUUUGAUAAAUAAAUCCAUACAGAAUAAUGUCAUUUUUUCUUUUACAAUGUUGCAUAUGGCAGUUUUUAGGCAAUUCAACAAAGGGUUAUUAUAGUUAACUAAAACUAUAUUUAAAAAAAUAUAUUUCUUGAAAUAAACGUUAACUGAAAUAAAAUAAAAAUAAAACAUGUUUAUUGUAACAUUUCUUAUUUUAAUAAAAACUUAGACAUUUUCUCUCUCUCUCUAAAAAGUUUUUAGGGAUAAAGAUUUCCAGUGUGGACCCUAAACAAUAAAUUCUCUUUCUCUCUCUCUCUCUCUCUCUCUCUCUCUCUCGUGUCAAGAAGGACAGUAAAGAAGCCACUUCUCUCCAAGGAAAAUAUCAAGGACAGAUUGUAAUUCUGCAGGAAGUACAAGGAUUGGACAGCACAAGACUGGUGCAAAGUAAUUUUCUCUGAAGCUUCCUUCUGACUGUUUGGGACAUCUGGAAAAUAGAUUGAUCGGAGAAGAAAAGGUGAACACUGCCAUGAGUCAUGCGUUGUGCCAACAGUGAAGCAUCCUGAGACCACCCAUGUGUGGGUUGGAUUUCAACCAAGGGAGUGGGCUCUCUCAUAAUUCUAUCCAAAAACUCUGCCACAAAUAAAGAAUGGUAUCAAAAUGCCCUGCAAGAGCGACUUCUUCCAAUGAUCCAUGAGCAAUUUGGUGAUGAUCCAUGUGUUUUCCAGCAUGAUGGAGUGCCAUGUCACAAAGCAAGAGUGAUAAAGAAGUGGGUCGAAGAUCAUUACAUUGAAAUUUUGGAUCCAUGGCCAGGCAACUCCCUGGAUCUCAGUCCCAUAGAGAACCUGUGGUCAGUCCUCAAAAGGUGAGUGUACAAGCAGAAACCCACAAAUUGUGAUCAACUUCAAGAACUAAUAAGGCAAGAACGGAUCGCCAUCAGUCAGGAUUUGGCCCAGAAUCUAAUAUCCAGCAUGCCAGCGUGAAUUGCAGAGGUUAUGAAGAACAAGGGUCAACACUGUAAAUAUUGACUCAUUACAUAUAUAAUUAUUUUGUGUUUGUUUUGCCAAUAAAAGCUUUUAAAACAUGCGUAUCCUUGUUUUUCAGUAUACCAUAGAAAAAUGUGGAAAAAUUAUCUACAAAUACUGAAGCAGCAAACUUUGCAAAACACAAAAUGUAUGUCAUAGCCAAAACUAUGUUCCA